CCACAACGUAACCAACUUUUCUUUCCCCAUUACAUUCGUUUUGGACUGCCUCAGGUUAAUCACUACUUUGUUGCUCCACACUUCCACGUCCAUCGCCUGAAGUCUCCCGGACCCUUGGCGAUUGCUGCUAACUAGCUCGCUGACCCGAAAUGCCCCAAAAAAGGCAAAACUAAAAACCACGGAAAACAACGUCACUUCAUAUCCUGAAAAACACACUGCAG